rnacentral:rRNA from 1 species
AGAAUCAACGCUGGCGGCGUGCCUAACACAUGCAAGUCGAACGAGAAAGUGGGAGCAAUCCCAUUAGUAAAGUGGCGCACGGGUGAGUAACACGUGACUAACCUACCCUUGAGUGGGGGAUAACCUAGGGAAACCUGGGCUAAUACCGCAUAAUACCUACGGGUCAAAGGAGCAAUUCGCUUUAGGAGGGGGUCGCGGCAGAUUAGUUAGUUGGCGGGGUAAUGGCCCACCAAGACAGUGAUCUGUAUCCGGCCUGAGAGGGCGCACGGACACACUGGAACUGAAACACGGUCCAGACUCCUACGGGAGGCAGCAGUGGGGAAUUUGCGCAAUGGGGGAAACCCUGACGCAGCAACGCCGCGUGGAGGAUGAAGCCCCUUGGGGCGUAAACUCCUUUCGAUCGGGAAGAUAAUGACGGUACCGGAAGAAGAAGCCCCGGCUAACUUCGCGCCAGCAGCCGC